AUGAGGCCCACUUGCGCCAAAGCUGUGCUCUUACCUGCAGGUACUGCCGUAGAACAGACUCUAACACCAGCUUCAAAACACCCUCCAUUUAAACCAGCUGUGAGCUCCGCAGUACAGUGCACAGGCAGGACACAUGCUUACCACCGAGGCCUCUGUGGGCCAGAGCAGACAAGAAAUUUGAUGUAUUCUUUCCAUCCUGGGAAUGGACAUAAUGAUAGUCGGAGGACUGUGUUUUAUACCAAUGAAGAGUGGGAAUUUUUAGACCCAACCCCUAAGGACCUAGAGGAGUCCAUAGUACAGGAAGAAAAGAAGAAGCCGACCCCUGAAGGAAACAAAGUUUCACAAAGGCUGAAAAAUUUGCCUCAUACUUCCCUCAAAGCCAAACAGUUGCUUCAAACUUCAUCUACAAAUAGAGGACCCAGUCCACUAAGUGUUCUCACCCUGCUUCUGGUUCCUCUGGUCACAGCACAGAAACAACAGAACCAAGAAAUGGUGGAUCAGUUGGAAGAAGAAAAGAAAGAAUGCCACCAAAAGCAGGGAGCUCUAAGGGAGCAGUUACAGGUUCACAUUCAGAAUGUAGAAAUCCUUGUAUCAGAGAAAGCCGAGUUACAGACAGCCCUGGCUCACACUCAGCAUGCUGCCAGGCAGAAAGAAGGAGAGUCCGAAGAUCUGGCCAGCUGCCUGUAGUAUUCCUGGCAGUGUGUGGGAGAGUUGGAGCAGGCUGUUUGCUGUCUCCAUACAGCAGAAGAAAGCAGACAGGUACAACAAGGAGUUAACCAAAGAGAGAAACACCCUCAGGCUGGAGUUACACAAGAACAGGUAGUCGAAUCAAUGAGGACUGAAGCAGGAGAAAUCAGAAUUGGAAGAGAAGCUUUGAGUCCUAGUGACUGAGAAGGCUGGCAUACUGCUUAACUUAGAAGAGCUGCAAAAGAAAUUACAAAUGACUGAACUGCUUCAACAAGCGUUUUCAAGGCACUGUGAAGGCCCUGAUACUAAACAGCAGUUACUGCAGGCCAUGGAGGAGCGGGCAUAGCUGGAAGCACACCUGGGGCAGGUAAUGGAGUCAGUUGGACAACUACAAAUGGAGAGAGAGAGACGUAUGCUGAAAAUCUGAAAGGAGGGAGUGCCAUGUGGCAGCAGAGGAUGCAGUAGAUGUCAGAGCAGGUGCGCACAUUGAGAGAGGAGAAGGAGCAUAGCAUGAGUUGGGUAUAAGAACUGGAAAUGAGCUUGGCUGAACUGAGUAACCAAAUGGCCGUGCCCCUGGAACUCCAAGCAGGGCCCUCCAGGGUGGAGCAGCAGCUACAAGCAGAGGCUGGCCACCUGCAGAAGGAACUGGAGAGCCUGGCAGCUCCAAGCCCAGGAGCAAGACACUGAGGGCUUCAGUCACCCGAACCAGGAGUGGGAGGAGAGGCUGCUGGAGCUGCAGCAGGUGGCCAAGCUCUUGGGGGAGCAGGCAGAGUUGCACAGACAAAUCUUGGAGACCAUGCAGAAUGACUACACCACCAUCAGCCACGUGCUCACCCAGAACCACGAGCUCAAGGAGCAGCUGUCUGAGCUGCAGAAUGGAUUCAUAAAGCUGACUAAUGAGAACAUGGAGAUCACCAGUGCAAUGCAGUUGGAAUAGCACGUAAAGAGGGAGCUGGGAAAGAAGCUGGGCAAGCUAAAGGAGACGAUGGAGCUGAAGAGCCAGAAGGCUCGGUCUGCAGCAGCAGCAAGACCAGUACCUGAGUCACCUGCAGCAGUAUGUGGCCACCUAUCAGCAGCUGACCUCUGAGAAGGAGGGGCUGCACAACCAGUUACUGCUGUAGACCCAGUUCGUGGACCAGCUGCAGCAGCAGGAAGCUCAAAGAAAGCAGUGGUCAAGAUGGCCUGCCAAGAGUUGCGGGAGACCCAAGAGUGCCUGGAAGCUUUCAGCCAGCAGAAUCAGCAGCCUCAGGCCCAGUUGAGCCUCAUGGCUCUACCUGGGGAAGGAGAUGGACUGGACAGUGAGGAGGAGGUGGAGGUGCCUCAGCCCAUGCCGAGCAUCCUGGAGGACCUAGAGAGCCAGAAGGCCAUGGGGGCAUUUUUCAACUCAGCUGUAGCUAGUGCCCAGGAGGAGCAGGCACGGCUACGUGGGCAGCUGAAGGAGUGCACUGCCAGCGCAUGGCUCAUCUGCUGGCCUCGGCCCAGAAGGAACCUGAGGUGGCAGCCCCAGCCCCAGGAACUGGGGGCAAUUCCAUGUGUGGGGAGACCCACUGGGCCCUGCAGGCGGCCAUGGAGAGGCUGUAGAGCCGCUUUAUGGAGCUCAUGCGGGAGAAGGUGGACUUGAAGGAGAUGGUGGAGGAACUGGAACAUCGCUUCAUCUAGCUGUCUGGAGAGACAGACACUGUAGGAGAGUACAUCGCAGUGUACCAGAGCCAGAGGGCAGUGCUGAAGGAGCAGCACCAGGAGAAGGAGUGCAUCGGCAGGCUGGCCCAGGACAAGGGAAGAGAUGAAGGUGAAGCUGCUGGAGCUUUUUGCGGCUUGUGAGCGACUGCAACGAGUAGCAUGGAAGAUCCCUGGCAGCUGCCCAGAACCCUGCUGAUGAGCCCACUCCAGAGGUCCCAGCCCCCCAGCAGCUUGGGGCUGCUGACAAGCAGGGUAAUCUUUGCGAGGUGAGCCUUGCCAGCAGCGGGAAGCCUGUGCAAGGAGAGGCAGGGAAGGGUUCUCCCUGCGGUAACCCCACUGCGCAGCAGAUCAUACCGCUGCUUUAUGGAGAUGCAGAACCUCCAGGAGCACCCAAGCUUGGGCAGCAGCCCUUGCAUUCCUUUUUUGUACCAGACUGCCGAGAACGAUGAGGUGAAGAUCACCAUCAUCUAAAAGCCGGCCACUGUCAGCAAAAUCUGGAGAAGUGGGGCUGGAGGCUCUGCCUCUACUGUGUCCCUACCACCCCUUCUCAGUCAACCCUUUACCCUUACAGUAGCAAGCAUAAGACCCCUGUCUAAUGUGGAGAGACGGGUGGAGAUGAGGUGAAGAUCACCAUAAUCUAAAAGGCCACUAAAUAAAA